AUACGGAGGGUGCAAGCGUUACUCGGAAUCACUGGGCGUAAAGCGCGCGCAGGCGGCUUGAUAAGUUGGAUGUGAAAGCCUACGGCUCAACCGUAGAACUGCAUCCAAAACUGUCAAGCUAGAGUCUGGGAGGGGAAGAUGGAAUUAGUUGUGUAGGGGUAAAAUCCGUAGAGAUAACUAGGAAUACAAAAAGCGAAGGCGAUCUUCUGGAACAGUACUGACGCUGAGGCGCGAAAGCGUGGGGAGCAAACAGGAUUAGAAACCCGAGUAGUCC
rnacentral:rRNA from 1 species